UGGGGGAUAUUGCACAAUGGGCGAAAGCCUGAUGCAGCGACGCCGCGUGGGGGAUGAAGGCCUUCGGGUUGUAAACUUCUUUUGCUCUGAACAAGGCGCACCAUGGGGUGUGUUGAGUGUAGGGGUUGAUUAGCGCCGGCUAACUACGUGCCAGCAGCCGCGGUAAUACGUAGGGCGCGAGCGUUGUCCGGAAUUAUUGGGCGUAAAGGGCUUGUAGGUGGCUGGUUGCGUCUGUCGUGAAAGCCCAUGGCUUAACUGUGGGUUUGCGGUGGGUACGGGCUGGCUUGAGUGCAGUAGGGGAGGCUGGAAUUCCUGGUGUAGCGGUGGAAUGCGCAGAUAUCAGGAGGAAUACCGGUGGCGAAGGCGGGUCUCUGGGUUGUUACUGACACUGAGGAGCGAAAGCAUGGGGAGCGAACAGG
rnacentral:rRNA from 1 species